ACACUUGUUCAUCUAUAUUACUUAUUUACUUCUGUGUGUUGAGCCCAAAUCUGCCAACAUGUGACUUCCAUCCUUUGAUCUCAUUUUCUGGGAGCAACACAAAAAAAAUGUGGCUUCCUUGAAAGUUCUUCAUGUAUUUAAAGAUCACUCUCAAGCCUGCAGUCAACCUGGAGUAGGCAGAUGAAGCAGCUGGGGAAAAGACCUCUUGACCUACCAACAAACAGUCACUGACACUGUCAAGUUCAGAGGUGGUGAGAGACACAGAUUGCAGGUAUCUUUGUAAGUUCCAAUUCGUCCCCCACACCAGGUUCAGCUUGUCUUUACUCUCCCCUGAGUCACUUCGAGUUUGGUUCUACUGAUCUACAGGAAGCUUCUUCCCACCACUGAAUUCAAGGGACAGUCUUCCCAUAUGUCUUUACCAGCUCUCGCAAAUGACAGAAGUUUGAAGCAAUAUUCAGGAGUCAGGCCUUGAUGGAUUUGAAACUAAAACUAUUUUUUUAUUUCUAACUUCUCUACAUGGAAAAAGACUCUCAAAAGACAGAGCCUGUCUAUGUCAUUCAGACUGGCCUCAAACUCCAGGGCUCAACAAAGCCUCCUGCCUCAACUUCCCCAGUAGCUGGGACUACAGCCCUGGUCUUGGCUGUUACAUAGUGGGAUAGCUCGAUGUGCAUACAGCGUGGUUGGCAGUAGAAAGAUCAAUAGAGGAGUUUAUAGGGUUUACGAAGACCUGGAUUCUAAUCCUGCCUCAGCUAUUUAUGAGGAAUGGCUUCAAAUGUUCAGUGGAAGUGAACAAGUUCUUGUAUUGUUUUCUCCUAUUCUCCUUCCAGCUUCAGGGUCAUAUGUCACAGCGCUGGGCAUUUCAUUUGGGUAUCUAUCAUCAUUCCCAUUCUGCAAUGAGGAAAUGCUGUCAGAGUGAUUAAGUAAUUUGCCCAUGGUCUCACAUAGAAGCCUGUCUUCUCCAGGGAACACAGCACUCAGAAUCGUCUCGGCCCCUGCAUAAGCCUGCAUGAGCCUGGGCUCUGGGGACCCAUCCUGGUGCAUCAUUCGUUGGCUCUGUGACAAUGGGCACAUCGUUUAACCUCUCUUGGCUUCAUUCUCCUUACUGGAAUGAUGGAGAGAGUUUUGCCUAUUUCAGAGGCUUGCUCUUCUAUACGUGAGCCUAUAAGUAACUUGUCUUAAGAAUUUCCACUCCUUCUGUACUCUGAUUUAAAUUUGAAGGCAUCAAAACAAAAACAAUCAA
ensembl:lncRNA LINC02866 long intergenic non-protein coding RNA 2866